rnacentral:rRNA from 1 species
GACGAACGCUGGCGGCGUGCUUAACACAUGCAAGUCGAACGAAGUGGCGAACGGGUGAGUAACGCGUAAUCAACCUGCCCUUCAGAGGGGGACAACAGUUGGAAACGACUGCUAAUACCGCAUACUGAAGGAGGGGAUUGCGUCUGAUUCGCUAGUUGGGGGGGUAACGGCCCACCAAGGCGAUGAUCAGUAGGCUGUCUGAGGAGAUGAACGGCCACAUUGGGACUGUGACACGGCCCAGACUCCUACGGGAGGGAGCAGGGGGGAAUCUUCCGCAAUGGACGAAAGGCUGACGGAGCCACGGCGCGUGGUUGAUGACGGCCUUCGGGUUGUAAAGCUCUGUUAAUCGGGACGCGGUACCGGAAUAGAAAGCCCCGGCUAACUACGUGCCAGCAGCCGCGGUAAUUC